rnacentral:rRNA from 1 species
GACGAACGCUGGCGGCGUGCUUAACACAUGCAAGUCGAGCGGUAAGGCCCUUUCGGGGGUACACGAGCGGCGAACGGGUGAGUAACACGUGGGUGACCUGCCCUCAGCUCUGGGAUAAGCCUGGGAAACCGGGUCUAAUACUGGAUAUGACUCCAUGACGCAUGUUGUGGGGUGGAAAGCCUUGUGCGGCUGAGGAUGGGCCCGCGGCCUAUCAGUUUGUUGGUGGGGUGAUGGCCUACCAAGGCGACGACGGGUAGCCGGCCUGAGAGGGCGACCGGCCACACUGGGACUGAGACACGGCCCAGACUCCUACGGGAGGCAGCAGUGGGGAAUCUUGCGCAAUGGGCGAAAGCCUGACGCAGCGACGCCGCGUGAGGGAUGACGGCCU